AGCACCUUUUUACGUAUUGAGGGACAUGGAAAUAAAUAUAACUAUCAUGGGAUACAACCUGGAACACAACUGAAAAGGAAAAGUUGACAAACAAUUUCCUGUUUGCUCUAUGAAAGCAGGAACUUCUUUAAAAGCUUAAACCGCCAAAAUCAUGGCAAAUAAAACCAAAAAAGAUCUAGUAUCAGAACCUACAUUUCCAUCAGAAAGAUCAUGUAUCUGUAAGUCUGGCCACUAGAUCCUCUGCUACAACACACAGGUCUUAAAAUAAACCGACAUGAACUGUCUUACCAAUCCUUUCAGGUUGCAGAAGUAAAACGAUCUUCUAUAGACGGCGCUUCUGCAGUUCUGUAAGUGUAAUAUUGAAGAUAAUUGAUGCAAUCACUUUAGAAGCUUCUAAGGGUCUUUUAUGUUUCACAACUUCCAAAGAAACAAGUAAAUCCGUAGCUUAGAGCAUUGCAGUCUUGUUUGAUGAGGGUAAGUGUCCUGUGAGAUGUUUGUAGGAUUCUAAGGACUCAAGUUUGAUUUCUGAGCCUGGAUUGCUCCAUGAGUCUGGUGUGAAAAGCAUUCAUACAAAUGUCUUCUGUCUCUCUGUAUGUAACUGUGCUGGCAGAACGCUGCUGGACAUCUCAGCCGGAUGAUAAAAACAAAAACUGCAGUCAUCAUCGACAGAUCUGUGUCACAUUCUACGUCUGUGUGCCGCUGCAGCUUUCCUAGUGCUCUGACCGACCUUCAGCAGUACAGACUGAACUCUCCAGAGGCUCACAAACAAAUGAAGUGUUUUUCUAACAGGAGAUGAGGCCUUGAGAAAACACGCUCCCUGUGCUCGCUGUCAGCUCUGAGAACAUACAGCGCUGUCAUUCUGUCUGGGGCAGAACCUCCCAGGAGAGUCCGGAAGAACACAUCAGACUCAGAAACGUGUCGAGAGCAGGAGUCAGAGGUCAGGGGGCCUGCAGGGUCCAGGGGUGAGCUCUUCACAGCAGGAUGAGAUUUUCCCAGUGAGGAUUGUUGCAUACCAACACUGUUUGCUCUGUCAGAGUCCACAGAUGAAACCUCUGAGUGUAGGAGGUUCUGGUGCUUCCUCAGAAACAAUAUGCAGCUGACAGGGGAGGUUGACAAGAUGGAUUGUCUUUUUAAAAAGGAAACAUUGAGAUGUGGUGAAGGCAAAAAAAGUGGUCACAGGAGGUGACCUUAACCAGAACCAGACUGUGAUGAUCAGACUGCUGGUGAGAGGGUUAUGGGUAUCACAGCCAGGCCGGUUUGUUCUGGACCAGUUGAGGAGCUGGUUCUCACAGAAACGCGUCAGAACACACAGAACAUCCCACUUUGUUGUGUUUGGAGCUGUGCUGCUACAGACACCUCAGGGUUUCCAAGCAGACCCGAGUCCAACGACUCUUCGUUUAUGUCUCUGAUGGAUUGUAUUGUGUUUUAAUUACAAUAAAGUUUAUUGUUUUCAGUUUUUGACCCUACGACCACUUCAUACCCAUAUGUCAGCAUUUUGAUAAAUUGAGGAGAUUAAUAUUGAUUAAAACUUCCCCAUCUCAGCUUUACUUUAUAUAUGACCCUGUUCCCAUUGAUGGUGAUUCUGAUCUGCAUGUGGGCCAGUCAACUUUAUAAGAUUGUGACUUAUAAUCCAACCAGAACUACUCUGAGUGACCCUCUGCAGGUAGAUAUUAUUAAUUUCCUGACACUAGAUAAUAGAAACUGGCUUUAAAUCAUUGGUUGAGAAUCUGCAAAUAGAACAUUUUCCAGGAGCAACAGAAACAUCCUGUUUUUGACUUAAAAAGUCAGGAACACCAGAUGUGAAAACCUCUUUGUUUCUGUAGAAACUGGUAUCAGUUACAUUCUGGUAGUUUUGUUGCCUCUUUCAUUGUCAUUUUCAUGACGCAUGUUUGUAUUUUUUUGUUUUACUGCUGUUUUCUUCACUUAAACGUUUUAAUCUUUUUGUCUUUUUUGCCUCUUGAGGCCAGUCGGUGUUCACGCUGGAAUUAAUGAAGGAUCGAGAUGCUUCAUGGGUAAAUGAGUCAUCGAAGUAUGCAGUCAUGCUUCUAACCACCCAAUCAAUGAGCCUUUCUCCUCUUCAGACAGGAGUCUUCAUCUCGGUGAGGUGGACGGUGGCAUAUGUUCCUCUUAUUCAAUAACACUGGUGUCCCUGAGGACUUCUCUUAACAAGCUGGGAGGGGGACACUGGACCUCUGUUGUGCUUUAAGUGGGUAAAUCUAGGGUUUCUAGAGGUGAGGCUGCCGCAUUUUGUUCCCUGUUUUCUCACAGAAACUUGGAGCAGAGAAACCAGACACCACUCUGUCCUUCAGCCGUGAUCAGAGACAUCGGAGCCCGCUGGGAGAUCGUCUUUCAGCCCCAUCUUCAGAUUGGCCUCACCUGAAGGCAACUUGCUCCAUGUUCAGGCCUGUGAAGUUCUUUAGCAGGAUCUGCAGCCCAAAUGGUUUAAUUUUUGACCUUAAGCAACUGUCUGCCUCCCACUUGUCUCACAUGAGGAGCGUGGGAGAACUAAUCCCACUAAUUAAACAGAAACACGCAGGUAAGACACUUCACCACCGAGCUUAAAGCCGCAGUGAUGUUUGGCCUAGUUGUGUACCACGUUUAAGUAAUAUUUUAUCAUGCAAAGAAAAAGAGGCCUUUAUGCACAGGUUUAAAGGUCAACAAGCUUUACCAAACAAUUAUGUUAUAAAAAAAAUUAAUAAAAGCACAAAUAGGUUCUGUUUGGAGAAUCUUAACUUGUUUCAUGAGACUAGAAGCUAAAACAUCAGGUGAUGGAGUCCGAUCAUGACGCCAGGAGUGAGGGACCUGCCCUCAUCUGCCUCCCAUCUCCCUGAAGACCAGACCUUCAUCUUUUCUACAUGCUGGGGCUUUCUGGUGCAUUACAAGGCUAAGCCUGAGCAAUAUGAAUCAAGGCUUGACCACCAGAUGUUUACAGACGACUGACCCCACAGCUUAAAUCAGUUUGCCACUGGAGACCCUUCCAGGGGACAACAUAGCUCCCUGGAUCAUACACCCACCAUGUUAAGGUGGAGAUUCUGCAUAGGGGGGAGGGCUCUGGAGCAUCCGAUCAGGAUGACUCCUGGAUGCCUUACCAUUGGAGGUUUUCUGGGAACAUCAAUCUUGGUGGAAACACUGGGACAGACCUAGAACUUACUGGAGAAACAAUAUAUCCAUUCUGGGCUAGAAACACCUUGACUUCAACAACACCUUACUGUGUGGGGGAUUACUAGGGAGUUCCACUCACACUCAGACUACAGGAUGUUAAGUUUUAAAGAUAUGUGUGAUUUUAGCAGGUACUGUUGUUCGGAGUUAGAGUUGAGUAAACAAGAUGAUCAAUAACUCUGACACACUGAUUAUGUUGAAGAAACUCAGAGACUUGCACACCACUGCCGACUCCCUUAUAUAAAGUAGAUUGUUCCAGUGACUUGAUGGGAAGAACAUGCUGACACAUUUCUGUGUAAAUCAGAGUAAGAAUGCUGAUGCAGAACCAGAGCAGAAACUCUCUGAAUGAUGGCAAAAUGUUUGUGUUUAUAAUUACAGUUUUUGUCACAAACAGUAAUUUACCACUGUGGUGAAUGACAUGCUGACUGGGUUCAACACAGAGGACCUUUACACACCACCAUAAGGUUCUGGCCGUGUCCACAGUGAGCCGAAGACGAUAUCCGCAGAGAAAAGGUUGACCGCAAAGAUGAAAGCUCCAGCCGGUUAUGUGGUCAGGGCGGUCCACACGGAGCCGCCACAGGGGUGGCUUCGAACAUUCCCACUCUGGGAGCAGGGUAGUUGGUCUCACAGCCGCUUCGUGUGGACGGGACUCCCUGUCUGACCAGGAAGUUGUGCAGUUGUGAAUUUUGACAGCCUUUGACUUUGUUCUUGGCUGCUUUGUGCCUUUUCUUUCACACUUUUAUACGUUUUAUGUGAUUGAAAUAAAUAAAAAAUUACCAUGA